GGGGAGGAAGAAAAACUGUCAAAAUUCUAAGACCAUGGAGAAGAACAGUGACCCAAGCAAGAGUGCUGAGGAAAGCACCAGGCGUGCCCGGCCCUGCAGGGAGCAAUGCCACCGAAGGAGAGGAAAUGUUACGUUUCCAAAGGCAAGAGGUAGGUUUGUAACUGGGACAACAGACUGGAUGC
rnacentral:lncRNA from 1 species